rnacentral:rRNA from 1 species
ACGCUCGACACCUACGGGAGGUAGCAGUUGGGAAUAUUGGACAAUGGAGGAAACUCUGAUCCAGUGACGCCGCGCGAAGGAAGAAGGUCUUCGGAUUGUAAACUUAUUUUGUCAGGGAAGAAAAAUGACUGUACCUGAAGAAAAAGCACCGGCUAACUACGUGCCANNCGCGUAGUAUNGNGGCGNGNGAGAG